rnacentral:rRNA from 1 species
AGUGAACGCUGGCGGUAGGCCUAACACAUGCAAGCCGAACGGCAGCACAGUAAGAGCUUGCUCUUACGGGUGGCGAGUGGCGGACGGGUGAGGAAUACAUCGGAAUCUACUUUUUCGUGGGGGAUAACGUAGGGAAACUUACGCUAAUACCGCAUACGACCUACGGGUGAAAGCAGGGGAUCUUCGGACCUUGCGCGAUUGAAUGAGCCGAUGUCGGAUUAGCUAGUUGGCGGGGUAAAGGCCCACCAAGGCGACGAUCCGUAGCUGGUCUGAGAGGAUGAUCAGCCACACUGGAACUGAGACACGGUCCAGACUCCUACGGGAGGCAGCAGUGGGGAAUAUUGAACAAUGGGCGCAAGCCUGAUCCAGCCAUACCGCGUGGGUGAAGAAGGCCUUCGGGUUGUAAAGCCCUUUUGUUGGGAAAGAAAAGCAGCAGGUUAAUACCCCGCUGUUCUGACGGUACCCAAAGAAUAAGCACCGGCUAACUUCGU